rnacentral:lncRNA from 1 species
UGAACUCUUUGAGAACUAAGCGUAACUGAACGCUACCUUGCUAAGUGUGACUCCGAAACCUGCGUGUGGCUGGGGUGUUAGAAGGACGCUUGCGGGGGGAGUGUGCUCCCGGUGCGGCUUCCGGGUCCGUCACGGGAGUGCAUGGCCUGGAGUAGUUACCCCGCAAGCGGAGUGACUCGCCGCUGCUGCUUGGCCCCAGGUCGGCACUGCGGGUCCAUCUCGGGUCCCUGAUCCAGCCAAUAGUGAGGCGCACGAGUCCCCUGCAAUACAAAGCACAACACACAACGGCUGAGGGAUCCACCCCGCGAGGCAGCCCCGGGAACAAGGAACAAGGAUUGAGUAGAACUAAAAGCAGGAUUAACAAAGUAGCAAAUGAUUACAUGAGAUAAUGAAUCAGUAAUUGUUCAAACGGCGCCAAGCGUCGUGCUUGUAGGAACGAAAACAAAAAAAAAGGAAAACAAAGGAACGGCAAGGGCUAGCGGGAGGCUGCGGCAACUAGUUGCUGGCGUCUUCCGUCGGGGGCUCCGGGGAUGGCUCGGGGUCCGGCUUCUGCUGCAUCCGCUUGACCACCUCAUCGACAAACCCACUCACCGCCUGAGUGUGCACGGGUUUGUCCUUGCUGUCCGACCAAGCGUCCAGCAGCGUCUCGAAGGGAAACUCCGGGUCCCGGAGCUGUACCCUCGGGAGGAUCGUCCCGGCAACCUCUCAGGCGUAGUUGGCAACUUCGUUGGCACCAAACUUGGC